UCAAUAUAAAUUGAGUUAAAAUUUAUUUAUUAAAUUUUUUAGUUAAUAGUUUAGAUUAUUAAAAAUAAUUGUAAAAUUUAUUGUUUUAGUAAUUUUUAAUGAAAAAAUAAUUUUUAUAAUAGUUAAUUAGUAUUGUGAAAGAAUAUUGAAAUAUUUUGAAAAAUUUUUAUUUAAAAAGAAGAUUUAGUUUAUCGUACCUUGUGUAUCAGGGUUUAUCAAUUAAAAAAUAAUUAUUUAUUUUUCUCGAUUUUAUAAGAGUUAAUAAAUUAUUAAAGUUAAUGUGUCAGAAUUAUUUUAAAUAAUUUAUUAGAAAUGAAAUGUUAUUCGUUUAUGAAGGUAUCUAGUUUUUUUAGAAAUAAAUUUAAUUUAUUAAUUUUGAAUCUUUUGUUUAUUUAAAAAAAUGUAAAGAUUUCUUAAUUAAAAUUUUCUAGGGGAUAAGCUUUAGAGAAAAUAUUUAAAAGUAGUUAAUUUAUUUAUAAAUAUGUAUGUAUAGAAUUUGCAAUCAUUUAUAAGUUUGUUAUAAAUUAUUAUAAUUUAUUUAUUAUUUAUUAAACUUUAAGUUUUUAUAAAAAUUUUGAAUUUAAUUAUUUAAUUCAAGUAAUAAUGAUAGAAUUAGUAUAUAUUUUUGUUUAAGUAAUUGUAAAUGGAAAGUUUAUGUAAAGAAUUCGGCAAAUUUGUAUGCCCGCCUGUUUAACAAAAACAUGUCUUUUUGAGUUAUUUUAAAAGUCUAGCCUGCCCAAUGAAUAAUUUUGAAUGGCCGCAGUAUUCUAACUGUGCAAAGGUAGCAUAAUCAUUAGUCUUUUAAUUGAAGGCUGGUAUGAAUGGUUGGACGAGGUAUAAGCUGUUUCAUGUAAAUUUAUUAUAGAAUUUUAUUUUUUAGUCAAAAAGCUAAAAUUUUUUUAAAAGACGAGAAGACCCUAUAAAUCUUUAUAUUCCUUUUUAUAUAAAUUGUUUAGAUUUAUUUUGUUUUUAUAGUUAGGAUUAUUUUAUUGGGGUGAUAUUAAAAUUUAAUUAACUUUUAAUUUUUAUAAAUCAUUGAUUUAUGAAUUAUUGAUCCAUUAAUAGUGAUUAGAAGUUUAAGUUACUUUAGGGAUAACAGCGUAAUUUUUUUGGAGAGUUCAUAUCGAUAAAAAAGAUUGCGACCUCGAUGUUGGAUUAAGAUAUAAUUUUAGGUGUAGCCGCUUAAAUUUUAAGUCUGUUCGACUUUUAAAUUCUUACAUGAUCUGAGUUCAAACCGGUG
rnacentral:rRNA from 1 species